rnacentral:rRNA from 1 species
GACAGAGGCCUCAAGCGUUAGGCGGAAUCACUGGGCUUAAAGCGUGUGUAGGCGGAUCGUUAAGUGUCUUGUGAAAUCCCACGGCUCACCCGUGGAACGGCUGGGCAUACUGGCGAUCUUGGGCCAACUAGGGGCAACUGGAACAAGCGGUGGAGCGGUGAAAUGCGUAGAUAUCGCUUGGAACGCCGAAGGUGAGAACAGGUUGCUGGGGUUGUGCCGACGCUGAGACACGAAAGCCAGGGGAGCAAACGGG